AGGGGUAUAGCUCAGUUGGUAGAGCGACGGUCUCCAAAACCGUAGGUCGAGGGUUCGAACCCUUCUGCCCCUGCCA
rnacentral:tRNA from 2 species